rnacentral:tRNA from 1 species
CAGAUUAGAGCUUGAGUAUAAAGUAUUUUAUUUACACUAAAAUGAUAAUUUUAUAAUUUAAUCUGA